rnacentral:rRNA from 1 species
UACGGAGGGGGCUAGCGUUGUUCGGAAUUACUGGGCGUAAAGCGCACGUAGGCGGCUUUGCAAGUUAGAGGUGAAAGCCCAGGGCUUAACCCUGGAAUUGCCUUUAAAACUGCAUCGCUAGAAUUGUGGAGAGGUAAGUGGAAUUCCGAGUGUAGAGGUGAAAUUCGUAGAUAUUCGGAAGAACACCAGUGGCGAAGGCGACUCACUGGACACAGAUUGACGCUGAGGUGCGAAAGCGUGGGGAGCAAACAGG